AGUGCAAGUCUUUUAGUCUUGUUGUGCAUUUACUUUAGUAAUAUAGUUGUCUUAGUGAAGUUAGUGACCUGUAACCACUCCUAUGUGUGCAUCAUCGUCCUAUCUUGUAUAGGAGCUCUAGCUAGCUGCAACUAGUUAGCGUUGUAGGAUUAAGUGUGAGCGUGGUGCUCAUACUUAAGAUUACCUUUGAUUACCGCUGGCUUGAACGGAAAGUAGGAGCGCACUCCCUAGUAGGUGACAGAUCGUGGGCGGCAUUAGGUUCUCCUCACGUACAGGCUAGUUCUUAAAAGGUAAGGCGUCCAUAAGCCCAAUAGUCGCUUUCGGUAAGGGGUUAGGUGAAAAACCUUCUAAGCGUCUUACCAGCUCGGCCA
rnacentral:lncRNA from 1 species